GCCCCAGCGAAGCGGAGCGCUCGGGCCGCCCCGCCCGUUCUGCCGGUGGGGGCGGCGCGAUUGCGGCGGGGGUGCGGGGAAGUGAGGUGCGCGGGCCGAGCGCCGCUUGGGGACGCACGGAAGGGUUUAGGGGCCAUCUGGAUGGAGGCUGAGGGCGUCGCGCGCAGCCACCAUGUUCAACCAGCAGCAGCAGCUCCAGCAGCUCCAGCAGCAGCAGCUGCAGCAGCAGCAGCUGCUCCAGCUCCAGCAGCUGCUCCAGCAGUCCCCACCGCAGCCCCCCCUGCCCAUGGCCGUCAGCAGGUGAGUUCCCCUCUGGAGGGGUGGGCGGCUUCAGUCCCGCCGCUCAGAUCCCUGUGGCGGAGACCCCAUCCCAGUCCUUUCGCCCCGGGGUCGUCCCCGUUUCAGUCCUGGGAGCCACCAGUUCCCACCCUAAGAGGUUCCUCUGUCUGCCGUAGAGAGGGGGCAGAGGAUGGAGGUGAGGGAAGAGGGAGGGUCCGACUCUCCCGAAGCCCUCUGACAGCCCCUCCCAACACACAGGGGGCUGCCCCAACAGCAGCCACAGCAGCAGCUCCUGAACCUCCAAGGCGCCAGCCCCGCCUCCCUCCUCAACGGCUCUGUGCUACAGAGAGCUUUGCUUCUGCAGCAGUUGCAAGGUAUAGCUACUGGCCCCUUCUCACUGCAUCUUAGUGGUGGUGCCCUAGCAUCCCCCUUUUGCGCUAAAUUUCCCCCAGAUCCACACGCCAACUCUGGGAGAGAGCUACUCUCAGCGUCCUCGUUUGCCGAUGAGGACACUGAGGCUCCAGGAGGUGGAAGUCCCAAAGUUGCUCAGCUGGAUGCCGGUCUAUGCUGAUCACCGAGGUGUGCCCUUGGCCGUGGUGCUGACUCUGUGGGCUGUCCUCAGCACCCCUCACUCACAUUCAGAUUAGAGGAAAUGAUGGGUGAAAAGGUCUAUUUUGACACCCCGCCCCCUGCCCCCACGGCCCAUUUGAUAGAUGAGGAAGUGGAGGUCCAGAGAUGGGGGAAGUCAUUUGUGCUGGAUCACACAGCUAGAUUAAGGCCCGAGGCUCCUGACCCCCUGGGUCUCUGAAUGGGCGUCUCUAGCCCUGUGUAUUAAGCCGGUGCCCUUGUCUCAGUUUCCCCAUGUGGAGAGCAGUCUCUCAGCUCUUCCUUCUAAGAUGCUGCUUCAGAUACUUCAGCCCCUUUGGGAGUAAUCUUAGGAGCCCAGUGACCUGCGGCCAGCUCAGGUUCAGACCCAGCCCCUCCCAGAUGGAAGCUGUGGCUUGCUGGGUGGUCCUUCUGGGCGGGGCACUGUGCUGAGACCUUUACAUACACAAUUCCUUAACUCUGCUGACAACCCUGGGAGGGAGAUACCAUGAUCCCAUUUUACAGAUGAAAAAACUGAGACCUAGAGAGGCAUCAUGUGCCCAUGGUCACCCAGGGAGUAGAUGUGGAUUAGAGGGAGAAUUAGAGCCCAGAGCCAUGUUCUUAGACACCAGGCUAUCCUGCCAUCCAGCUGGGUAUGCUGCCAGGUCAGAAGAUGUGGUGGCUGUCACUCUUCAGCCCUGCCACGUAGGCGGGGAUGGUCCUGGAGCUGAUUGACAAAGGAUCAAUGGAUAGUUGGAGAGAGAAAACCACACACAGGGACCCACGAUGUAUACAUAUAGUAUGUAUCCCCCCUUUUCUUCCCCAUUUAAAAAGUCACACUCCUCAAAGAAAAGUGAAAACAAAUGUUUGAGAGGACAAGAAAACCCAAAUUGUCAUAGAUAGACUCACUCACCUCCUGAAGGAAAGCAACAAUAGCAACAACAAUAAAAAACACCCGUGAAGAUUUUGGUGUAUUUCCUCCCAAUUUUUUUCUAGGCACAAACUUGGGAAUUUGUAUAUGAUUGUGGUUGGUUAUUGAUGUAAGUGAAAAGCUAUAUCUUGUUUCUUUUUCAUGGAGUAGAAUGACUUGGUCAUUUACCAGAUGAUUUGACAGUCUCUGUAAAGAUUAUUUUUUAACAGCUGUUUUGUUUUGCUCUUGCGUACCUACACUCAGCUGCUUCCUUUUUUUCCCCCUUUUUUCCUUUUUUUUUUCCCGUAUUCUUCUUCUUCUUCUUCUUCUUCUUCUUUUUUUUUUUCUGUUUUAAAUAACCCUGGGAUGAAUAUCACGUUUGAGACUAUUUUCUUAGAGUGGAUUCCCAAAAGUGGAUGACUGGGUCGGGGGAUGGAUGUUUUAUGGCUCUUGAUAAGUAUUGCCAACUUGCUUUCCCCAAGGACUGGACCAGUUUGCAAUGCCACCAGCCACGUCUGACAGUGUCGGUCUCACCAUGCCCACGGCAACCUUGGGUAUUAUAUGCUUUUUAUAUAUAUAUAUAUAUAUAUAUGUAUACACGCAU
ensembl:lncRNA